GAUGAAGAACGCAGCGAAAUGCGAUAAGUAAUGUGAAUUGCAGAAUUCAGUGAAUCAUCGAAUCUUUGAACGCACAUUGCGCCCGCCAGUAUUCUGGCGGGCAUGCCUGUUCGAGCGUCAUUUCAACCAUCAAGCCCCCGGCUUGUGUUGGGGACCUGCGGCUGCCGCAGGCCCUGAAAACCAGUGGCGGGCUCGCUAGUCACUCCGAGCGUAGUAAUACAUCUCGCUCAGGGCGUGCUGCGGGUUCCGGCCGUUAAAAAGCCUUAUUUACCCAAGGUUGACCUCGGAUCAGGUAGGAAGACCCGCUGAACUUAAGCAUAUCAUUAAGCGGAGGA
rnacentral:misc_RNA from 1 species